GGGGUCGUUUUGGAAUCGACUAGUAUUGUUCGAGCUAGUAUGGCGCUUAGGGGUUGUGUCCCUAUAAACCACUCAGUUGAAUUAACUGCAAACAAUUCAAAUAACUACGCCGUCGCUGCCUAAAACACAGCACGCGUGAUCGUUGCACAUUGUGAUUGCCGAUAUGUUAACGGUUUAAUAAUUUAGUAAUCUGCGCUGUAUGUUCUCCGAUUGGGGAUGUGCAGAAGAGGAUAAUCAAUCUAGCAAGUUGAUCGCUUUGUGAUGCGGCGUGCAACUUGUGAAAUUUAAAAUGCAUGACUAUGAGCGUAGAGGUAUUAGUAGCGAGAUAGUAGGACAGGGGUUCGAAUCCCCUCGACUCCACUC
rfam:Weissella viridescens strain DSM 20410 Scaffold5, whole genome shotgun sequence.